CGGUUGCUGCAUUAGUCUGAGGCACAUUUCCCCUCCGAGGAGGCUUUCAAUGACUUCAUUCAAGUGCAGGCUGGAGCAAAUGGGAUAUUCAGCAUACCAGCUGUACUACUUUAGUGAUUUGUGUCCUGACUUAGGGGUGCAGCACGAGCAUUGGUGCUCUGGACGCUCAACUGCAUAUAUCUGUGUCACAUUUCAUGGCUGUGAAAGCUUCUCCCGGACCAGCUGGUCUUACUUCUGGAGUCUCUCUUGGAGGAGAAGACUUUAUGUCCUAGAACACUGCAAUGCUUAGAGGAAACGUACAAGCUCCAUGAGCAGGAUGCAGAGGUAAUGUUUACAUUCAUAUUAAUCUUAUGCUAUGGAUUAGCAAUGACAGAGCCAGCUAUGAGUGACUGUGGUGCACUAUGAAGUAUAUCUGUGGAUUUUAAACAAAGUUUGGCACGUAAGAAUUGUCCAUUAAAUGUUGUGUACACCCUUGGGAGUUUGAAGUCUUUCCCUGUAUGU